rnacentral:rRNA from 1 species
GGGGCNGCAGGGACUUCGGUCCGCUGGCGACCGGCAACGGGUGCGGAACACGUACACAACUUACCCUCAUCUGGGGCAUAGCCCGGUGAAAACCGGAUUAACUCCCCAUAGUAUUGUUUGGUGGCAUCACUGGAUAAUUAAAAAUUUAUUGGAUGAGGAUGGGUGUGCGUCCUAUUAGCUAGUUGGUGUGGGUAAUGGCCCACCAAGGCGACGAUAGGUAGCUGAUGUGAGAGCAUGAUCAGCCACACGGGCACUGAGACACGGGCCCGACUCCUACGGGAGGCAGCAGUGAGGAAUAUUGGUCAAUGGACGCAAGUCUGAACCAGCCAUGCCGCGUGAAGGAUGAAGGCGUUCUGCGUUGUAAACUUCUUUUAUUGGGGAAGAAACCUGAAUUUUCUAAUUCAGCCGACGGUACCCAAGGAAUAAGCACCGGCUAACUCCGUGCCAGCAGCCGCGGUAAUACGGAGGGUGCAAGCGUUAUCCGGAUUUACUGGGUUUAAAGGGUGUGUAGGCGGACUUUUAAGUCAGGGGUGAAUCCCGAGGCUCAACCUCGGAACUGCCUUUGAUACUAUUGGUCUUGAAUCUUGUUGAGGUGGGCGGAACGGGUCAUGUAGCGGUGAAAUGCAUAGAUAUGACCCGGAACACCGAUUGCGAAGGCAGCCCGCUAAGCAAGCAUUGACGCUGAGGCACGAAAGCGUGGGGAUCANACAGGAUUAGAUACCCUGGUAGUCCACGCCCUAAACGAUGAUUACUCGACGUUGGCGAUACACUGAUCAGCGUCCAAGCGAAAGCAUUAAGUAAUCCACCUGGGAAGUACGUUCGCAAGAAUGAAACUCAAAGGAAUUGACGGGGGUCCGCACAAGCGGUGGGAGCAUGUGGUUUAAUUCGAUGAUACGCGAGGAACCUUACCUGGGGCUAGAAUGCANUCUGACCGCUGGUGAAAGCCAGUUUUCUAGCAAUAGACAGAUUGUAAGGUGCUGC